rnacentral:rRNA from 1 species
UGGGGAAUCUUGGACAAUGGGGGCAACCCUGAUCCAGCCAUGCCGCGUGAGUGAUGAAGGCCUUAGGGUCGUAAAGCUCUUUCAACGGUGAAGAUGAUGACGGUAGCCGUAGAAGAAGCCCCGGCUAACUUCGUGCCAGCAGCCGCGGUAAUACGAAGGGGGCAAGCGUUGUUCGGAAUUACUGGGCGUAAAGCGCACGUAGGCGGACCAGAAAGUUGGGGUGAAAUCCCGGGCUCAACCCCGGAACUGCCUCCAAAACUAUUGGUCUAGAGUUCGAGAGAGGUGAGUGGAAUUCCAAGUGUAGAGGUGAAAUUCGUAGAUAUUAGGUGGAACACCAGUGGCGAAGGCGCCUAACUGGUCCGGUACUGACGCUGAGGUGCGAAAGUGUGGGGAGCAAACAGGAUUAGAUACCCUGGUAGUCCACGCCGUAAACGAUGAGUGCUAGAUGUUGGGAUUUUCGGAUUUCAGUGUCGCAGCUAACGCAUUAAGCACUCCGCCUGGGGAGUACGGCCGCAGGUUAAAACGUCAAAUGAAUUG